rnacentral:rRNA from 1 species
AUACCCUAUUAUAUUAAGUGUUAAUUUUGCUUACCUGGGUACUAUUAGUUAAGGUCUUUAAACCCAAAGAAUUUGGCGGUACCUUAUUCCAUUCAGAGGAACCUACCCCGUAAUUGAUAAUACACGAUUAACUUUACUUAAUUUAUUUGUUUGUAUAUCUCCGUUAUCAGAAAAUCUUAUUGGAGUUAUAAUUUUCUUGAUUUAUAAUUAUGAAAUAUUUCAGGUCAAGGUGCAGCUUAUAAUUAAGAGGAGGUGGGUUACAAUAGAUUUUUGUUUAUAACGGAUUUAAUAGUGAAAUACUAUUAAUGAAGGUGGAUUUGAUAGUAAUUUAAUUUAGUUAAUUUAAUUGAUAUUGGCUCUGAGGUGUGUACACAUCGCCCGUCGCUCUCA